AUGGUUAAUGGUUGGAAGGAGAGAACUCUCUCUUAUGGGGGGAAAGAGGCAUUGCUGAAAGUGGUGGCCCAAUCCAUCCCAACAUAUGCGAUGAGUGUGUUCAAAUUCCCAAAGAAAACCUGCAAGGAGAUCACUGACGCUAUAUCGCAAUAUUGGUGGGGUGAUGAGGAUAACCAACGGAGGAUGCAUUGGUUUGCGUGGUGGAAAAUAUGUAUACCCAAAGAAAGAGGUGGCAUGGGCUUUAGAGAUGUUCAUAGUUUUAAUCUGGCAAUGUUAGCAAAGCAAUGUUGGAGGUUGAUUGAGAACUUUGGUUCCCUUUGUGCGCGUGUGUUGACAGCAAGGUAUUAUCCUAAUGGAGACAUGCUUAACUGUGAGUUGAAGAAGGGAUCUUCGUAUGUGUGGCAUAGUAUUCGGGCUGGCAUCCAAACUUUCAAGAAAGGAUGCAUAUGGAGAGUAGGAGAUGGGGAAAAAAUCAAUAUAUGGAACGACUGCUAG
rnacentral:rRNA from 1 species